rnacentral:rRNA from 1 species
UACGUAGGGGGCAAGCGUUGUCCGGAUUUAUUGGGCGUAAAGAGCGUGUAGGCGGCUUUACAGGUCCGUUGUGAAAACUCGAGGCUCAACCUCGAGACGCCGGUGGAAACCGUAAGGCUAGAGUCCGGAAGAGGAGAGUGGAAUUCCUGGUGUAGCGGUGAAAUGCGCAGAUAUCAGGAAGAACACCCGUGGCGAAGGCGGCUCUCUGGGAAGGUACUGACGCUGAGACGCGAAAGCGUGGGGAGCGAACAGG